rnacentral:rRNA from 1 species
UACGUAGGGAGCAAGCGUUGUCCGGAUUUAUUGGGCGUAAAGAGCUCGUAGGCGGUUUGGUAAGUCGGAUGUGAAAUCUCCAGGCUCAACCUGGAGGGGUCAUUCGAGACUGCUAUGACUAGAGUUCGGUAGAGGAGUGUGGAAUUCCUUGUGGAGCGGUGAAAUGCGCAGAUAUCAGGAGGAACACCCGUAGCGAAGGCGGCACUCUGGGCCGAUACUGACGCUGAGGAGCGAAAGCGUGGGGAGCAAACAGG